CGCUCAGAGAUUUUGGUGACCCUUUCGCAUUCGUGGGUUGCCUUUCCGGUGACCGUUGAACAUCUGAGACAUUUAUAUGGCUGUAAUCUAACUCUAGAAGCCCAGUCCCGUAAUCGAACGACUCAUCACCGAAACAUUGUCAGAGGACUCUGUUUGUAAGGGGGUGGAGUCGUCAAGAGAAUACAAAAAACAUGAGGGACAGCAGAAUGGGUGUGGUUAACACAAAUUUUAACCCCAAAGAGAUAGGAAAAAGGUGCAGGUGAAGUCUUAUAUUAGUGGAUCAAUCUAUAUCCAUGACCAUCUCAAGACAACAUAAGGGAAAGAAGACUUAAAAAGAACACUAUAAAGACUA